UACGUAGGGUGCAAGCGUUAAUCGGAAUUACUGGGCGUAAAGCGUGCGUAGGCGGUUAUUCAAGUCAGAGGUGAAAGCCUGGAGCUCAACUCCAGAACUGCCUUUGAAACUAGAUAGCUAGAAUCUUGGAGAGGUGAGUGGAAUUCCGAGUGUAGAGGUGAAAUUCGUAGAUAUUCGGAAGAACACCAGUGGCGAAGGCGACUCACUGGACAAGUAUUGACGCUGAGGUACGAAAGCGUGGGGAGCAAACAGG
rnacentral:rRNA from 1 species